rnacentral:tRNA from 1 species
GCCGCCUUAGCUCAGUUGGUAGAGCAGCUGAUUUGUAAUCAGCAGGUCGUGGGUUCGAGUCCCACAAGCGGCUCCA